rnacentral:rRNA from 5 species
AAAUUGAAGAGUUUGAUCAUGGCUCAGAUUGAACGCUGGCGGCAGGCCUAACACAUGCAAGUCGAACGGUAACAGGAAGCAGCUUGCUGCUUUGCUGACGAGUGGCGGACGGGUGAGUAAUGUCUGGGAAACUGCCUGAUGGAGGGGGAUAACUACUGGAAACGGUGGCUAAUACCGCAUAACGUCGCAAGACCAAAGAGGGGGACCUUCGGGCCUCUUGCCAUCAGAUGUGCCCAGAUGGGAUUAGCUUGUUGGUGAGGUAACGGCUCACCAAGGCGACGAUCCCUAGCUGGUCUGAGAGGAUGACCAGCCACACUGGAACUGAGACACGGUCCAGACUCCUACGGGAGGCAGCAGUGGGGAAUAUUGCACAAUGGGCGCAAGCCUGAUGCAGCCAUGCCGCGUGUAUGAAGAAGGCCUUCGGGUUGUAAAGUACUUUCAGCGGGGAGGAAGGUGUUGUGGUUAAUAACCGCAGCAAUUGACGUUACCCGCAGAAGAAGCACCGGCUAACUCCGUGCCAGCAGCCGCGGUAAUACGGAGGGUGCAAGCGUUAAUCGGAAUUACUGGGCGUAAAGCGCACGCAGGCGGUCUGUCAAGUCGGAUGUGAAAUCCCCGGGCUCAACCUGGGAACUGCAUUCGAAACUGGCAGGCUUGAGUCUUGUAGAGGGGGGUGGAAUUCCAGGUGUAGCGGUGAAAUGCGUAGAGAUCUGGAGGAAUACCGGUGGCGAAGGCGGCCCCCUGGACAAAGACUGACGCUCAGGUGCGAAAGCGUGGGGAGCAAACAGGAUUAGAUACCCUGGUAGUCCACGCCGUAAACGAUGUCUACUUGGAGGUUGUGCCCUUGAGGCGUGGCUUCCGGAGCUAACGCGUUAAGUAGACCGCCUGGGGAGUACGGCCGCAAGGUUAAAACUCAAAUGAAUUGACGGGGGCCCGCACAAGCGGUGGAGCAUGUGGUUUAAUUCGAUGCAACGCGAAGAACCUUACCUGGUCUUGACAUCCACGGAAGUUUUCAGAGAUGAGAAUGUGCCUUCGGGAACCGUGAGACAGGUGCUGCAUGGCUGUCGUCAGCUCGUGUUGUGAAAUGUUGGGUUAAGUCCCGCAACGAGCGCAACCCUUAUCCUUUGUUGCCAGCGGUCCGGCCGGGAACUCAAAGGAGACUGCCAGUGAUAAACUGGAGGAAGGUGGGGAUGACGUCAAGUCAUCAUGGCCCUUACGACCAGGGCUACACACGUGCUACAAUGGCGCAUACAAAGAGAAGCGACCUCGCGAGAGCAAGCGGACCUCAUAAAGUGCGUCGUAGUCCGGAUUGGAGUCUGCAACUCGACUCCAUGAAGUCGGAAUCGCUAGUAAUCGUGGAUCAGAAUGCCACGGUGAAUACGUUCCCGGGCCUUGUACACACCGCCCGUCACACCAUGGGAGUGGGUUGCAAAAGAAGUAGGUAGCUUAACCUUCGGGAGGGCGCUUACCACUUUGUGAUUCAUGACUGGGGUGAAGUCGUAACAAGGUAACCGUAGGGGAACCUGCGGUUGGAUCACCUCCUUACCUUAAAGAAGC